ACUUUUUCUUCACGGAGGCUCCGAAGAUCUCACAGUGCUCCUAGUCCGUUCCUAAAAGACCACCAGGCAGAGAACAGCUUCCGUUUUCACUACCACAACCCUAGGAACCAAACCUAGGAAACCUGUGCCAUUGAAGUUCCUGUUCUGCGGUUCCUGCAGCCCAACCAUAAGCUGAAAAUGGCUCCCAGCCUUUUGCAAGCAUCAAUGCUAUAGAAAGCGAAAGGGCUACAGACAGAGAUGUCUAAGGUGAUAUCUUCUGCUUGCACCCGCAAAGAUGAGCUAUCCUGCUCCCUCCGGACCCCACCCCCAGGGGAGUGGACCUUCUGAUGUUGGUUUUGUCUUUACCUGUCCUAAGGUAUUACCUGCCUCCUCUCAGUGGAUUGCACUCUGAGAAUCAUUCUCUUAUUUUAGUACUUGAGUUUUCCUACCUGACCACUCAUGGCUACAGUUACAACUCUAAUCAUGGCUACAGUUAAAACUCUAUGUGGCUGAUCAAUUUUUAAUUUGCUGCUGUUAUUUUGAAUCUCUUGAUUUAAGCAGGUUGUGAACCGAGUCUUACUUUAUGGGCACUGAUCAAUGAUGUAAUUGUUGUUACUUUCAAAAAGUAAAACCUCCCAAGUUUAUAAUAGGCA
rnacentral:lncRNA from 1 species